UUACGGGAGGCAGCAGUUAGGAAUUUUGCGCAAUGGGCGAAAGCCUGACGCAGCGACGCCGCGUGACUGAUGAAGUCUUUCGGGAUGUAAAGGUCUUUUGCAGGGGAAGAAGGAUGUGACGGUACCCUGCGAAUAAGCUCCGGCUAACUACGUGCCAGCAGCCGCGGUAAUACGUAGGGAGCGAGCGUUGUCCGAAUUUACUGGGCGUAAAGCGCGCGUAGGCGGGCUAAUAAGUUGUGGGUGAAAUGCCGAGGCUCAACCUCGGCGCUGCCUGCAAGACUGUUGGUCUUGAGGUAUGGAGGGGAGAGUGGAAUUCCUGGUGUAGCGGUGAAAUGCGUAGAUAUCAGGAGGAACACCGAUGGCGAAGGCAGCUUUCUGGCCAUAUCCUGACGCUGAGGUGCGAAAGCCAGGGUAGCGAACGGGAUUAGAUACCCUUGU
rnacentral:rRNA from 1 species